rnacentral:misc_RNA from 1 species
AACGCACAUUGCGCCCCCUGGUAUUCCGAGGGGCAUGCCUGUUCGAGCGUCAUUUCACCACUCAAGCCUCGGCUUGGUAUUGGGCGUCGCGAGUCAAUCUCGCGCGCCUCAAAGUCUCCGGCUGAGCUGUUCGUCUCCUCAGCGUUGUGAUUCACUAAUUCGCAUUAGGAGUGCGAGUCGGCCGCGGCCGUUAAAUCUUUCAAAGGUUGACCUCGGAUCAGGUAGGGAUACCCGCUGAACUUAA